CAGUAUAGUGCAGUAGAACAUUGUUCUUUUUCCAGCCUGGUAGACUCAGAGCAACCUGAGGCCUGCGCAGGUACUAGCAGAAUUCUCAGUCCUGGAGUCUGAAAAAGUGUGUGCAGGUUCCACAGUCACGAGAAGCCGCCCACAGAGGGAAACAGACUCCGCCCCUGCAUUCCCGCCACUAUAAAAGCAAGAUGCUUCUGGCAUGGCACGUCUCACUCAGGAGAGAGUAGACUAAUGGUUGGAGCUCCUACCUGAAACUGAAGCACCCAAGCAAAGACUAAAGAAGCAUUUGUUUCAUUUUUAGUUUUUUUUUUGCUUUAUUGAAAAUGACACUUUCUGUUUCUGUUUAAGGACUAUAUAAAUAUUAAAAUGGGUGACCCAGUUAGUGCCCCAACACUGCCUCUGUGAACAGUA